rnacentral:rRNA from 1 species
UUUAUGGAGAGUUUGAUCCUGGCUCAGGAUAAACGCUGGCGGCGUGCCUAAUACAUGCAAGUCGAGCGGUAAGGCUUUGCACUUAGUAUUUGAUCGCAGUAGUUUACUACUGGAGCAACCUAAUUCAACCCUAGGCUAGGGAAGAUGCGGCGAGGGAGAUCGAGUAAUAAGUGUAGAGU